UAGAAAUAAAUAUUGCUGAGCAAGCAAGCCAAUCAAAUCCUUCUUUGUACACUACACUUCCUUGUUCACGUGGCUACAACAGAGGGGCAAUAGAAAUAAACUGUUGAGCAAGCAAACAAAUCACGUUCGCAAUUACUUAUUUGUGUGGUCAGGAUCCUUUCAAGCCCUGUCAGGUUGAAUGGGGAGCGUCGCAGCACAGCUAUUUUCAGGUCUCUCCAGAGAUGCUUGAUCGAGUUCAAGUCCAGGCUCUGGCUGGACCACUUAAGGACAUUGAGACUUGUCCCAAAGCCACUCCUGUGUUGUCUUGGCUGUGUGCUUAGCGUCGUUGUCCUGGAGCAGGUUUUCAUCAAGGAUCUCUCUUUACUUUGCUCCGUUCAUCUUUCCCUAGAUUCGGACUAGCCUGACUGGCUUCAGUCUGUCCACUCUACAAUGCAGGGCUUAAUUGGUGGAGUGCUGCAGAGCUGGUUGUCCUUCUGGAAGGUCCUCCCAUCUCCACAGAGGAACUCUGGAGCUCUGUCAGAGUGACCAUCAGGUUCUUGGACACCUCCCUGACCAAGGCCCUUCUCACCAGAUUUGCUCAGAUUGGCAGGGCGCCCGGCUCUAGGAAGAGUUUUGGUGGUUCCAAACUUCUUAUAUUUUAAGAAUGAUGGAGGCCACUGUUCUUGGGGACCUUCAAUGCUACAGACAUUUUUUUGUUUCUUUCCCCAGAUCUGUGCCUCGACACAAUCAUGUCUCGGAGCUUGAUUUUUGCUCUGGCAUGCAAUGUCAACUGUGGGACUUUAUAUAGACAGGUGUGUGCCUUUCCAAAUCAAUUGAAUUUACCAGACUCCAAUCAAGUUGUAGAAACAGCUCAAGGAUUAUCAGUGGAAAUUGGAUGCACCUGAGCUCAAUUUCAAGUCUCAAAGCAAAGGGUCUGAACACACGUGUAAAUAAGGCAUUUCAUUUUUUUAUUUUAUACAUUUACAAACAUUUCUAAAAACCUGUUAUCAAUUUGUCAUCAUGGGGUAUUGUGUGUAGAUUGAUGAGGAAAACAAUUUAUGUUAUCCAUUUUAGAAUAAGGCUGUAACAUAACAAAAUGUGGAAAAAGUCAAGCGGUCUGAAUACUUUCCGACCGCAGUGUACAUGUAUUAUCCUCAUCAAAGGACAGUCAGUAAAUGCAACGCAAUCAAGCCUGUUCCUGUUAGACUGAACUGAUUUGCAUACCUGAGCAAUAAGGGAGAGAUGUGCCUGUACAGGUGUGAGUGUGUAUCAAAGUGGGAAGGAGGCCAAAGAAGUACGAGGAGCAGUGGAUGGGGGAGUGAGAUAAAAGGUUGAGGCUUCCUCCAGACUAACUCCAGCCACCCAAGUCAUAGACUGUUCUCUCUGCUACCGCACGGCAAGCGGUACCGGAGUGCCAAGUCGGGGACCAAAAGGCUCCUGAACAGCUUUUACCCCCAAGCCAUAAGACUGCCGAACAGUUAAUCAAAUGGCUACCAUUACCACUUGCUUUGACCCCCUUUUUAUUUGCACUGAGUCUCUUGCACUGGCUCUAUGCACACUCACUGGACUCUACCCACACACACAUACUACAGUAACACACACAUGCAACCUACCUGCCCUCCAGGACACCUACAGCACCCGAUGUCACAGGAAGGCCAUAAAGAUCAUCAAGGACAACAACCACCCGAGCCACUACCUGUUCACCCUGCUAUCAUCCAGAAGGUGAGGUCAGUACAGGUGCAUCAAAGCUGGGCCCGAAAGACUGAAAAACAGCUUCUAUUUCAAGGCCAUCACUAGCACUGAGAGGCUUCUGCAAACAUACAGACUUGUAACCAUUAAUGUUUACAUAUCUUGCAUUACUCAUCUCAUAUGUAUAUACUGUAUUCUAUCUAUUUCAUCUUAGCCUACGCCGCUCUGACAUUGCUCAUCCAUAUAUUUAUAUAUUCUUAUUCCAUUCCUUACUUAGAUUUGUGUGUAUUAGGUAUUUAUUGUGGAAUUGUUAAAUAUUACUUGUUAGAUAUUGCUGCACUGUUAGAACUAGAAGCACAAGCAUUUCACUUCACUCACAAUAACAUCUGUUUACCAUGUGUGUGUGACCAAUAAAAUUUGAUUUGAUAGAUGCCACACACACGUUCA